rnacentral:rRNA from 1 species
GCCGCGUACGGGGCGCAGCAGUAGGGAAUUUUCGUCAAUGGGCGCAAGCCUGAAUGAGCGAUGCCGCGUGAGUGAAGAAGGCCUUCGGGUCGUAAAGCUCUGUUGCGGGGGAAAAAAGGCAGCAUCAGGAAAUGGGUGCUGACUGAUGGUGCCCCGCCAGAAAGUCACGGCUAACUACGUGCCAGCAGCCGCGGUAAUACGUAGGUGGCGAGCGCUAUCCGGAAUGAUUGGGCGUAAAGGGUGCGCAGUCG